AACGCUAGCUACAGGCUUAACACAUGCAAGUCGAGGGGCAGCAUGAACUUAGCUUGCUAAGUUUGAUGGCGACCGGCGCACGGGUGAGUAACACGUAUCCAACCUGCCGAUGACUCGGGGAUAGCCUUUCGAAAGAAAGAUUAAUACCCGAUGGCAUAAUUCUUCCGCAUGGUAGAAUUAUUAAAGAAUUUCGGUCAUCGAUGGGGAUGCGUUCCAUUAGGUUGUUGGCGGGGUAACGGCCCACCAAGCCUUCGAUGGAUAGGGGUUCUGAGAGGAAGGUCCCCCACAUUGGAACUGAGACACGGUCCAAACUCCUACGGGAGGCAGCAGUGAGGAAUAUUGGUCAAUGGGCGAGAGCCUAAACCAGCCAAGUAGCGUGAAGGAUGAAGGUCCUACGGAUUGUAAACUUCUUUUAUACGGGAAUAAAGUUUCCUACGUGUAGGAUUUUGUAUGUACCGUAUGAAUAAGCAUCGGCUAACUCCGUGCCAGCAGCCGCGGUAAUACGGAGGAUGCGAGCGUUAUCCGGAUUUAUUGGGUUUAAAGGGAGCGCAGACGGGAGAUUAAGUCAGUUGUGAAAGUUUGCGGCUCAACCGUAAAAUUGCAGUUGAUACUGGUUUCCUUGAGUGCAGUUGAGGCAGGCGGAAUUCGUGGUGUAGCGGUGAAAUGCUUAGAUAUCACGAAGAACUCCGAUUG
rnacentral:rRNA from 1 species